rnacentral:lncRNA from 1 species
UGGCCUAAAAUGAUAAGGGUGCCUCCACUCCUCUCUAGCUAGCAUCUAAUAUUUUAUUACCUGGCAGUUGGAGCAUUUGGGGAGGUGGUGGUCAGUUAGCAGCUGUUGUAUGUCUGGUAUCAUCUCUCAAGGGUGGUGGAUUUUUUCUCGCAGUUGGCCUCUAGUUGUUGUGUAGGCUUGAAUGCAUAUUUGAAAGUGAGCUCUUUGUACUGAGAGUUUAAAAAUAUUCUAUAAUUUAGGAACAGGAAUGUACACUGGAUGGCAUAGAUGCUAGCUUGAUGCAACGCUGAAAAACAUCUUCCAUCAGAGGUCGUAUAAAUAAAUGAAGGAGUUCUGAGCCAGAAUAAACAGAAACACGUGGAGUAUGAGGAGUCCAGCUUUGCUGCAGUUCCUUGAUAAAAGGAUGCAUUGCCGUUACAUUGGAGGCUGCAUUACAGUAGGGAUGCAGUCAAGGGAUGCAGUUUUGGAAGUCUGAAAACAUCAUCACAUGGCGGGAAGUCAAGAGGCUUCUGGGAAGGACAGCAAAAAGGGCCAGGCUGCCCCUGCUAGAGCAACGUAUGUGGACUUCAGCCUCGUUCCUGCCAGGCUCUGAGAGCAACUCUUGCAGUUACAGCCUCAGACACUGGCAGGGCUCAUUCAGGACUACGCUUUCAGUGGGGGCGGGCAUGCCAUGGCAGACCUUACCCUUCCAGAACAGCCAGACCUGCUGUACAUGAAUUCUCCAUGUCUGGAAGUAUCCACCUUUCUCAUAUGUGCAUGCUGAGCAGAGCCCUGUGCAUGCACACUAGGCCCAGCCGUACAGCCCAGAGGCACUGUGGGAUAAGGCCUUCCCUGCCCUUGGAGGAAACGGCACUGCCUUGUGAGGCUGGAAAGAUUGGAAACAUUCUCCUAGAGCAUCCAAUGGCAAAGGAGAUCCUGCAUUGGAGGGACUCGACGUUGUGAGGGAACUGAAUUCAGGUCUCCUGUAUCCGGAGUACUCUAACCAAUAGAUUAGUAGAUUAAAGGACUAGGCGGCCUCAUUGGUGCAUCUUUUUCUGGCCACAUUCUGGGAUACAGGGCUGACAAAUGACUGGCUCCAGAAGAGGGUUCAGAACUGUAAAACCCAGUCUCAGAUACAGAUGAGUCUCAAUGAGGUAAAGGGCAUGAGACAUAGCUAUCUCCUCAGACUGUCUUACUACUAGUUCCACAGCUCCCCAGUCAGCAAAUAGCUUUUUAUUAAUCCUAUUUGUAGGGACCUAAAUUGCUCCUUAUAUUGUACAGGUGCAUUGAGGUCUCUGCUGGGUAGUGCAGCAAAAUUAAGUACUGCAAUGCUUAGUGUUGUGCCCAGUAUCUUUAGUGGGUCUAGACCCUUACUGCUUUCUACAAGGAUGUUUUGUGUGCUAGAAGCUGUCACUGGCUGAGGCACAGCUCUUAUACUUGGGCUUACUGCAGCUUUAGCUUAACUUCAUUCAACAGCUUCUAAUUAUAUCCUUUGUAUGACCUUAAAUAAUUCCUCCCUCCUUAGUGUUUACUCCCCUUAGAGUCUUGCAGAUACUAAUGUACCAUUUAACAAUUUAAUUCAAGGGCAUUCCAUUAAUGACAGAGGGAGAGAGAAGUAAAGUUGUGCAAGGAUAUUGUGCAAACACUUGCAUUCUCAAGGGUGGAUUUAUUUCUCGAGAGACUCAUGUAACAAGGGUGGCAGUGAAGUUUCCUCAGCUGAUGAAGUUUCCCAGGAGGACUAGGGACAUAAUGAUUUUCAGAGCAAUUCUUUCUGAUUCCUAAUACUGAUGAUACAACUUUUGGAAAAUUAUAAAAGGGACAAUUUCUGCAGAAUUGGAGGUAUGCCCAGAACUCUGAUCAGAUCUGUGAAUGGCCUAAUGAACUUUCAGCCUGUUAGGUAGAGUUGACAUUAGAACCAACAUUCAGUUUCACCACUUUUGGUUCUCCUGUGGCAGGCCUCGCCAUGACACGAACACCUACUAGGCAGUUGCUGUUUCUCAGCUGUCCCAAUUCACAGCUUUCAUACUGUUACAAGACAGGAACUAUAAAGAGGGCCCGGACAAUGUAGGGAGGCCUCUCCACAAGUGCAUUGUAAAACAGAAAGGGAGAGCUUAGCCAAACUAAAAGAAAACAGCCAUAGUGAAAUAAUCAGCCCUAAGAAAUAACAAUUAAUGGGGGAGAAGGGGAAGGGAACAACAGAAAUAUGUCUGUAUUGAGCUAGCUAAAGCUAUAUUUAAAAUGAGUCAACUUUUAUAUCUUGUUCAGUACAGUAUGAAGAAAUAAAUACAAUUCAUUCUUCA